AAAUGUUGGAAAUUAAAAAAAAAAAUGACGGCCAAAUGAAAAACAAAUAGAAGCAAGAGAGAAACCUACAAGCACUUUCCCUAACACCACCCCUAAACUCUUCCCUCUCCCUCACUAGAAUCGCCACCCAUCGCCUCGACGUCGACGACCUCUCAAUCAAGCCCACCGUCUACAUGGCCGGACCUAAUGAGAGGCCUCCGCCUCAGGCCUAGAAUUAUCAGCCCUUUUUUGUAACUUCUUCUUGCUGCUCGGAAUCAUACAGACACCUAAGAUCACUAUUGACAAUUAUUGAGAUUAACUCUUUGAUUCCAUUUGCUUUUAAAUUGCAAUUUUUCUCAAUAUGUUUUCCAUUCCGUUUACAUCUGUAACUUUCUUGAUUUUCCAUGAACAAUGUUAAGAAGAAACCCGGUGCAAACACAGACACUUCUACAGUGUUCGAAAUCCUCAUAUUAUUAGCAAAAGAAUAAGGGAUUGAAAUGUGUGUAUGGUCUGAAAUUGAAUCCGAUGAUCGGGCUGGGUUUUGAAGAUCUUGCAUUGAUAUUGCCAAGGUCAGUUUAUUGGCUAUCAUCUCAAGUUUUGUCAUAAAUUAAUGGAUUUUGAUUUUGCAGUUGCUAUGGUUUUGUUUAUUGUUAAAAUAUAGAUUCAACAUGUUCACAUUAUUUGGGGUUGAGCUUAUAAUGGGGUGUCAUUUGAAGUUAUGUGCUUUAACAGGAUUUGAAUUAAUUUCGACUUUAUGUUAAUUUGGAUUAAUUUGCUCUAUUGUUAUAGUUCCAUUUGAGGUACAUUACUGAAUUGAGAUCUUAUUCAAUGGUUAAAUUUACUUUUCAUGCAUAUUUUUAGGAUUUUUUGUUGGUUUUUAGUAAGUUAUAUUGGUUGAUAACUUGAUACCAAUUUCAUCAGCGUAAUGCAAGUUGUAGGUGGGUUUGGAUUUUUUCUCACAAGAGUAAGUAAAAUUCGAUAUACUCUGCACUGAAGAACUUAGGUAAAGGAAGCCAAAGUUAAGCUUGAAUGAUUUGAAUGUCGUGAAAAUGAAAUUGGAAGUGCCUCUAGAUUAUGCUGAAUUCCUUCUGUCACUAAAGCACUCAUGGUGAGGAUGUCUAGUUAAUUACAUUGGAUGUCGAUUCUCAUAAAUGGCUGAAUGUUAUAUAAUAUUUCAUUUUAUUUGUUGCUUUAUCGUUGAUUUCAAGUUAACAAAUUUAAUUCCGUAAAACUCUUAUAUAUGAAAACAUUGAUUGUUUACUACGAUUUAGGGGCCCAAAUUAUGAAGUUCACUUCAGGACCUGUGAAAUACAGGUACAGCACUGACUGUUGACGAACAUCGACACAGACACAUACACAGUAACCAACCCUAAACUCAUUCCUCUCUGUUUUUAGAAUCAUCUAGAGUCGAGCCGUCGACGACCAUCGUGAGUGCGAAAACGUCCACCGCAAACGCUUUUCAAGGUUAAUAUCUUAAGGUUUGCUUCUUCUUCUUUUUUUUUUUUUUUUUUUAAUUUCGUUUUGCAUUGUUUCCUCUCUAAGCCACCUAGGGCCUCAUGUUUUACAGGGGCCUCGUUGAGAAAAAAAAUCGAUCGAAAACCCUCUCCAAGAGCCAUCCAAAACCUAGCCACUAACUGCAGAGGACUGUGAGAAGCAGAGGAAAUCGUAGACUUUAGAGACGAAGUAGGUAACCAGUUAGUGCCCCUUAAUUUCUCUUUCGCCUUGUGUAGCAUUUUACAUAUCGUAUUUUUCUCCAUUGUUUAUUCAGUAGAGAAUGAAUUUGAUGUGCAAUAUUUUGUUGAUUUUUAUAAUUUGAAACCCCCCUUUCAAUGCUAACCGUCUUAGACUCUGAAGAAUGCUCUAAAUGUAGCAAAGUGAUUGUUUUUUUUUUUUAUUGAAAUUUGUUUGGAAUUUGUAAUGUUUAAAAUGGUGAUAAGCUUUUCAAAUAGUAACUAGUUUGGUUGUAGUGGUUUGGCAACUGUUGUGGUAAUACUUGUAUAUUUUACAUUGUGCAUUUGGAUGGAAAUCUUGAUAAAUACUUGGCAUAUUUGUGGGCCUAGACCACGUUUGUUUUGGGCAUUCACAUUUUUAUUGUUUUACAUGUUAACCUAGGAUCGCAUCAGUAUAAUGAGUGGAGCCUGUUUGGAUGAUAUGUUAACUCGUUGAAUAAAAUCGUUUUAAAUAUUCUCGAUACUUGUAUGAUAGACGUGUAGUUUGCUGAAUAAAUGUUUUGCUAAAUAAAAUAUUUAUAAAAUGAUCAAAGGAGCAUACGGAAGAUACAAGAAGCAAUCAACUGCUUUUAAUAUUUUUGACAUUUGGAAAGAUGACAUAUGGAUAAUACGAUAGUCUAAAUAAAAGGUAAAAGAUGAUUGAGUACACGCUAAGCAAUAUGAGGAAAAUAUUCUUAUAGCUGACAUAACUUAGUAUUUGUUUAUGACUUUUAAUAUGAAUACAGCCAUUGUUGAAACAUAAUCCUACUUAUAGUUUUCGUUGCCCAAUCCAUGCUAACUUCAGAUAGAAAAUUCUUUCUACUGUUAUGAGUGGUGGUACUCGUGUAUUACACAAUGUGUCUCUUAUGCAUACUCACAAAUAUCUUGAUUGACAAUUGACAUAGCUAUGGUUUUAAUGUUUUUGUUACUUGUUUGCUGUGGAAAUAACCUUGUUUCACUAAGUGCAACUGUUGUGGGAUACUUAUCUAUGCAUCUGGAUAGAAAUCUUGACUGACAAUGUCAUAUCUAUGGCUUCAACGUUUUUGUUACUUGUCUAAUGUGGAAAUAACCUUGUUUUCACUUGCAAUUCAUAUGCUAUAUUUGUCAGCUCAACUUGUGUUUCUUAACUUGGUUAGUGUAGAAUUUACUCAUUUCAUUUGAAAACAAAGGAAUAAAUAUGCACAGAUGUUGACAAAAAUCAUAUUAAUAAAUUGACAAUUUCGAAGACAGCGUUGUUUAUAUAUAGUUGUAAUUUCGAUAUUACAAAAUGAAAUUCUUAAAGGGUGACUUAAAGUUAUAUGGGUAGUACUCAUUGUAUGCAUUUGGGGGGAAAUCUUGACUUGCAAUCCAUAUGUUGUGAUGUGAAAAUAAACUUGCUUUGUUACUUGUGUGAUGUGGACAUAACCUUACUUUCAAUUGCAAUCAAUAUAUUGUGUUGUGGUGGUACUCAUAUCUGGGUGGAACUCUUGUUGAUAGACACUUGACAGCAGAGCUCUUCAAUAAUACCUAUUUGCUUAUCAAAAGUAGCUUUUUCAACAGUUCACUCAUGUAGAGAAAUCACUUACCUCUGAAUUGUCGUUCCCGACAGUUAAUGUAACGACCCAAAUA
rnacentral:lncRNA from 1 species